rnacentral:rRNA from 1 species
CGCAUCUGUGCAUGCAGCAUAUCAAUAAGCGGAGGAAAAGAAACUAACAAGGAUUCCCUAGUAACGGCGAGUGAAGCGGGAAGAGCUCAAAUUUGAAAUCUUAAAGGUUUCCCUUGACGAAUUGUAGUUUAAAGAAGUGUUUUCUGCUUGAAGUUUUGGUAAAAGUUCUUUCGGAAUAGGACAUCAUAGAGGGUGAGAAUCCCGUAUUUGACCUUUACUUUCAACUUUGUGAUACACUUUCAAAGAGUCGGAUUGUUUGGGAAUGCAGUCCAAAAUGGGUGGUAAAUUUCAUCUAAAGCUAAAUAUUGGCGAGAGACCGAUAGCGAACAAGUACCGUGCGGGAAAGAUGAAAAGAACUUUGAAAAGAGAGUUAAACAGUACGUGAAAUUGUCAAAAGGGAAGCGUUUGACACCAGUGUUGUUUUUCUGAAAAUCAAUUAAAGAACUGUUUAUGCUAAGCUGUUUAGACUUUAUCAGCUAAUCUGUUUAGUUUUGAGCUUUUCUUUAAUGCACUUUUCAGUUAACAAGUCAACAUCAAUUUCUUUUGCUGUAAAAAAGCUUGAGGAAGGUGGCUUGAGAUUCGUCUUAAGUGUUUAUAGCCUCUUGCCUAUGCAGUCGGAGAGAUUGAGGUCUGCAGCGUAGAUCCUUCGGGGCUAAAUGCAUUUGUGCUAAGUUAUAGCAUUUUAUAGACAACUUGUUGACUAUGAUUUGUCUUGUAGCUUACUCGCUUAUGUUAUUUUACCUACGCUUAGGAUGUUGAUAGUCACAGCGUGUACA